rnacentral:rRNA from 1 species
GAUGAACGCUAGCGGCAGGCUUAAUACAUGCAAGUCGAGGGGCAGCAUGAUUGUAGCAAUACAAUUGAUGGCGACCGGCAAACGGGUGCGGAACACGUACACAACCUUCCAACAAGUGGGGGAUAGCCCAGAGAAAUUUGGAUUAAUACCCCGUAACAUAGCGAUGUGGCAUCAACUUGCUAUUAUAGAUUUUUCGCUUGUUGAUGGGUGUGCGGCUGAUUAGAUAGUUGGCGGGGUAAGGGCCCACCAAGUCUACGAUCAGUAGCUGAUGUGAGAGCAUGAUCAGCCACACGGGCACUGAGACACGGGCCCGACUCCUACGGGAGGCAGCAGUAAGGAAUAUUGGACAAUGGACGCAAGUCUGAUCCAGCCAUGCCGCGUGAAGGAUUAAGGUCCUCUGGAUUGUAAACUUCUUUUAUAAGGGACGAAAAAAGGCUUUUCUAAGUCGUCUGACGGUACCUUAUGAAUAAGCACCGGCUAACUCCGUGCCAGCCGCCGCGGUAACAC